UACGUAGGUGGCAAGCGUUGUCCGGAUUUACUGGGCGUAAAGAGCGCGCAGGCGGUCGUUCAAGUCGCGUGUGAAAGCCCCCGGCUCAACUGGGGAGGGUCACGCGAUACUGAUCGACUCGAAGGCAGGAGAGGGUAGUGGAAUUCCCGGUGUAGUGGUGAAAUGCGUAGAUAUCGGGAGGAGCACCAGAGGCGAAGGCGGCCACCUGGACGAACACUGACGCUGAGACGCGAAAGCGUGGGGAGCAAACAGG
rnacentral:rRNA from 1 species